UACGUUCGCUAUAACCUUUGACCAUAAAUGUAGCCUGGUUCUAUUGUGGGGUCCUUUUUGUGGUGGACCCGGCUGCAAUCCGGAAUAUCUCGUCGAACCUCUCAUUAAGGGACCUCGGCUCGUGUUCCCACUCGGUGUUCUGCCAUUUCUCAUUGGGGUCAAUGAGCGCUGAACUAGUUUGCGCUUUGGCUCGCUUCCUGCGGUCGCGCCGUUGCAAGUUCCGUGUUUUUUUUUCGUUAUCCAUGCUGAAUCUGUGUACCCCGCAACUCCACCACUUUGUCGCGACUACGAAAAACACACUCAGUUGCGACGAGGGGGACGAGUAACUCAGAGGAGACGGGGUUGCUCUGGGUGGGACCCGACUGCUUUAGGUCCGACCGGGGAGGCUAAGGCAACAGUGCGCCGCCGCGCAUGAGUUAACGGGGGUUGCUGGCCCUUUCGGAAAAGCGAGGACUCAUCUGGCGAACCAGUGCCCGUACGCAAGUCCGUCGGUCCGAGCGUGGGGAACCUACGCGAACUCAACCGAGAACCAUCGGGUCAGUGAGGGCUCGUCUGGCAGCCAGUGCCCAUACGCCAACUCCGACGGUUCACGGCAAGCUAGGGGAGGCGAGUCAGUCACGAGGUCCCCACA
rnacentral:lncRNA from 1 species